rnacentral:rRNA from 1 species
AACGAACGCUGGCGGCAGGCUUAACACAUGCAAGUCGAACGCCCCGCAAGGGGAGUGGCAGACGGGUGAGUAACGCGUGGGAAUCUACCCAGUUCUACGGAAUAACCCAGGGAAACUUGGACUAAUACCGUAUACGCCCUACGGGGGAAAGAUUUAUCGGAAUUGGAUGAGCCCGCGUUGGAUUAGCUAGUUGGUGGGGUAAUGGCCUACCAAGGCGACGAUCCAUAGCUGGUCUGAGAGGAUGAUCAGCCACACUGGGACUGAGACACGGCCCAGACUCCUACGGGAGGCAGCAGUGGGGAAUAUUGGACAAUGGGCGCAAGCCUGAUCCAGCCAUGCCGCGUGAGUGAUGAAGGCCUUAGGGUUGUAAAGCUCUUUCAGUGGGGGCGAUAAUGACGGUACCCACAGAAGAAGCCCCGGCUAACUUCGUGCCAGCCGCCGCUGUAACAC